UCCGUGGUCAGCUCUGGGGACAGAGAGAGGGACAGGGGUCAGUGUGGUCAGUGUGGUCAGUGGUCAGUGUGGUCAGUGUGGGCAGUGGUCAGUGUGGUCAGUGUGGGCAGUGGUCAGUGGGAUCAGUGGUCAGUGUGGUCAGUGUGGCAGCAGCGCCAGCUCCGUGGUCAGCUCUGGGGAGAGAACCAGGGGUCAGUGUGGUCAGUGUGGUCAGUGUGGUCAGUGGUCAGUGGGGUCAGUGGUCAGUGUGGUCAGUGGUCAGUGGGGUCAGUGUUGUGGUCAGUGGGGUCAGUGGUCAGUGUGGUCAGUGGUCAGUGGGGUCAGUGGGGGGGUCAGUGUGGUGGUCAGUGUUGUGGUCAGUGUGGUGGUCAGUGGGGGGUCAGUGGGGUCAGCUCUGGGGACACCGAGUGACCCCGGGGGUCACUGGGGACAGGCUCCGUGGUCAGUUCCGGCCGGGUCACUGGUCACCGAGAGCCCCCCCAAUUCCGGACCCCUCCCCAAUUCCG
rnacentral:lncRNA from 1 species